rnacentral:rRNA from 1 species
GACGAACGCUGGCGGCGUGCUUAACACAUGCAAGUCGAACGGAAAGGCCCUGCUUUUGUGGGGUGCUCGAGUGGCGAACGGGUGAGUAACACGUGAGUAACCUGCCCUUGACUUUGGGGUAACUUCAGGAAACUGGGGCUAAUACCGGAUAGGAGCUCCUGCUGCAUGGUGGGGGUUGGAAAGUUUCGGCGGUUGGGGAUGGACUCGCGGCUUAUCAGCUUGUUGGUGGGGUAGUGGCUUACUAAGGCUUUGACGGGUAGCCGGCCUGAGAGGGUGACCGGCCACAUUGGGACUGAGAUACGGCCCAGACUCCUACGGGAGGCAGCAGUGGGGAAUAUUGCACAAUGGGCGGAAGCCUGAUGCAGCAACGCCGCGUGCGGGAUGACGGCCUUCGGGUUGUAAACCGCUUUCGCCUGUGACGAAGCGUGAGUGACGGUAAUGGGUAAAGAAGCACCGGCUAACUACGUG